rnacentral:rRNA from 1 species
GAUGAACGCUAGCGACAGGCCUAACACAUGCAAGUCGAGGGGUAACUAGAGUGAUAGCAAUAUUACUUUGGCUAGACCGGCGCACGGGUGCGUAACACGUAUGUAACCUACCUUAUACUGGGGAAUAACUUCGAGAAAUCGGCGCUAAUACCCCAUAACAUUGCGAAGAGGCAUCUCUUUGCAAUUAAAGCUCCGGCGGUAUAAGAUGGGCAUGCGUCCAAUUAGCUAGUUGGUGAGGUAACGGCUCACCAAGGCUACGAUUGGUAGGGGUUCUGAGAGGAUGAUCCCCCACACUGGUACUGAGACACGGACCAGACUCCUACGGGAGGCAGCAGUGAGGAAUAUUGCGCAAUGGACGAAAGUCUGACGCAGCCAUGCCGCGUGCAGGAUGACGGCCCUAUGGGUUGUAAACUGCUUUUGUACGGGAAUAAACCCUUCUACGUGUAGGAGGCUGAAGGUACCGUAAGGAUAAGCACCGGCUAACUCCGUGCCAGCCGCCGCAGUAACAC